rnacentral:tRNA from 1 species
AUUUAUAUAGCUUAUAAUAGAGUGUAGUAUUGAAGAUACUAAGGAAACUGAAGAUGUUUAUAAAUA